AAAGCGGGAGCAAUCUCGCAAGUAAAGUGGCGUACGGGUGAGUAACACGUGGAUCAUCUGCCCUGGAGUGGGGAAUAACGCUGGGAAACCGGCGCUAAUACCGCAUAUACCCGAGAGGGGAAAGCAGCAAUGCGCUCGAGGAGGAGUCCGCGGCCGAUUAGCUAGUUGGCAGGGUAAAAGCCUACCAAGGCUGUGAUCGGUAGCCGGCCUGAGGGGGCACACGGCCACACUGGCACUGAAACACGGGCCAGACUCCUACGGGAGGCAGCAGUGGGGAAUCUUGCACAAUGGGGGAAACCCUGAUGCAGCGACGCCGCGUGAGCGAUGAAGCCCUUCGGGGUGUAAAGCUCUUUCGGCAGGGAAGAUAAUGACGGUACCUGCAGAAGCAGCUGCGGCUAACUACGUGCCAGCAGCCGCGGUAAUACGUAGGCAGCAAGCGUUGUUCGGAGUUACUGGGCGUAAAGGGUGUGUAGGUGGCGCGCUAAGUUCCGUGUGAAAUCUCCCGGCUCAACCGGGAGGGUGCGCGGAAAACUGGCGGGCUAGAGUACGGGAUGGGAGAGUAGAAUUCCUGGUGUAGCGGUGAAAUGCGUAGAUAUCAGGAGGAAUACCGGUGGUGUAGACGGCUCUCUGGACCGUAACUGACACUGAAACACGAAAGCGUGGGUAGCAAACAGGAUUAGAUACCCUGGUAGUCCACGCCCUAAACGAUGCAUAUUUGGUGUAGGUCAUUCAAUUGAUCUGUGCCGGAGCUAACGCGUUAAAUAUGCCGCCUGGGGAGUACAGUCGCAAGGCUGAAACUCAAAGGAAUUGAC
rnacentral:rRNA from 1 species